UUUAUGGACACCUUGUAAUUAGGAAGGAAAAAGGAUGGAGUUCAGAUCUUUGACUUAGUGUUUUUUAUGUGUAACUAAAAGAUAGGCAUGCUUGAGGCACAAGUGGCCUGUGUGAAAUUCAGAUGAACCUGGAGAACAAACCGUUGAAAUUGGAGCUGCAAAGGGGCAAUGUUUCUCAAGGAGAAUGAGCAACAUGUGGCCUCCUGAUAUAGAGCAGUGACCUGUGAGUGCCUCCAGGCACAGGAAGCGGUUAGGAGAAAAAGGGAGGCAAAUCAUUCAGCUCUACUCUUGUGAAAAAUACCUUCCCAAAAUGUGUGGCCUGGGAAAAUGGAACAUGGAUCAAACAAAAAGCUGGGAGCUCAGAAUUACUGCAGGGUGAUAGUCCUUCUCUGUGCCACCAAAUGACAAAAAAAGGUACAAGAGAGCAUCAGACUGGUUUAAUCGUAUCCACAGACAGCUGAUCUUUAGAAACUGGAUGCUCCGUGCUUCAGAAACACCUGGAAGUUGUUCUUAAACUUUAAGAUAUACUCUUCUGCAGACUCUCGGUUACUCCAAUGUGGAAAUUAGCCAUCGUGCUGGGAACACCGACUCCCUGACUACCUGGUACCUGCCUAUGACCGGGCUUUGUGCCGAUGUCCUGAGGGCAGGUGAAGCGGGGAGCCCCUGAGGAGGUGCGAGCAGGGGAAGACAGCCCAGCAGGUGGAUGGAAGACUACCUGGAUCAGCUGCACACUCACAGCUCCCUGUCUGAAGGGUCGCUGACUAUGUUGGAGAUGUUCUUCCAGAAUCUGUGCCUGGACUCCAAACAGACCUCCCUGGGGCCUGCGGUAGGCAGAAUAAUGGCCCCUUAAAGACAUCGUCGUCCCUGGAGCCUGUGUGUAUUACCUUCAAAGGCGGAAGACAUUUUGCAGAUGUGAUUAGGGUUGAGGACCCUGACAUGGGGGAGAGUCUCCUGGAUUAUCCAAGUGGGUCCAGUCGAAUCACAUGAGUCGUGAAAAGCAGGGAACCCUUCCCAGCUGUAUUCAGAGAGGUGACAUUGCUGGCUUGAGGGCUGGAGGAGGAGAGCCAUGAACCAGAGAACGGAGGAGACUUCAGAAUCUGGAAAAACGGAAAAAAAGCAUUCUUGUAUUAGUCUGUUCAGGCUGCCAUUACAAAAUAGCCUGGGUGGCUUAA
rnacentral:lncRNA from 1 species